rnacentral:rRNA from 1 species
UGGGGAAUAUUGGACAAUGGGCGAAAGCCUGAUCCAGCGACGCCGCGUGAGUGAUGAAGGCCUUCGGGUUGUAAAGCUCUGUUGAGGGAGAAGAAAACUGUCACGGCGAACAGGCGUGGCACUUGACGGUAUCCCUUUAGAAAGCACCGGCUAACUCUGUGCCAGCAGCCGCGGUAAGACAGAGGGUGCAAACGUUGCUCGGAAUUACUGGGCGUAAAGCGCGUGUAGGCGGGCCACCAAGUCGGACGUGAAAGCCCUGAGCUCAACUCAGGAACUGCAUCCGAAACUGGCGGCCUGGAGUAGUGGAGAGGAAAGCAGAAUUCCUGGUGUAGAGGUGAAAUUCGUAGAUAUCAGGAGGAACACCGGUGGCGAAGGCGGCUUUCUGGACACUUACUGACGC